rnacentral:rRNA from 1 species
GACGAACGCUGGCGGCGUGCUUAACACAUGCAAGUCGACCGAAGAGCGAUGGAAGCUUGCUUCUAUCAAUCUUAGUGGCGAACGGGUGAGUAACGCGUAAUCAACCUGCCCUUCAGAGGGGGACAACAGUUGGAAACGACUGCUAAUACCGCAUACGAUCUAAUCUCGGCAUCGAGGAUAGAUGAAAGGUGGCCUCUACAUGUAAGCUAUCACUGAAGGAGGGGAUUGCGUCUGAUUAGCUAGUUGGAGGGGUAACGGCCCACCAAGGCGAUGAUCAGUAGCCGGUCUGAGAGGAUGAACGGCCACAUUGGGACUGAGACACGGCCCAGACUCCUACGGGAGGCAGCAGUGGGGAAUCUUCCGCAAUGGACGAAAGUCUGACGGAGCAACGCCGCGUGAGUGAUGACGGCCUUCGGGUUGUAAAGCUCUGUUAAUCGGGACGAAAGGCCUUCUUGCGAAUAGUUAGAAGGAUAGA